GCUCAGUUGGUAAAGCACAAGGCUCUUAACCUUGUGGACGUAGAUUCAAGUCCUAU
rnacentral:tRNA from 1 species